rnacentral:lncRNA from 1 species
CAGGAAGAGAGGGGCAAAUCCAGAGCUAACAAAACUUCUAGUUCAACAUGAGACGCUGGCCAAUAAACUGGCAAAGUUAUCAGAAGAUUGAUAAAGAAUAUUUAAAAUCAAAGGCUGCUUUCUGUGAACCUACUUUGCGUAAAGCGCUGAACUACGCUGCAGGAGUCAGCAGCCCUAGGUGCUCGAAAUGAGCCCGCAGUUUGCGUGGAGGUCCAUGGCGAAAACGAUACGAACAUAUAAAGCGCUGCCGGAAACGCAUACGAUUCACUGCAAACUGGGUGGCAAAGCACUGAAUGAGAAACUGCGGAGCAAAGCGGCUGGAGGCAUUCAGACUCCAGCUACAUAUUGGCUUUCUCCGUCCUCACUCCGCAGGCUUGAAGGACACCCUCUGCCCUCCUGGUUCCCAGGCAUUGGAACGAAGGCUAGAGCUUUGCUACCAGUUCUGCAGGUGUCGAGGACAGCUGCCGAUCUUCUUGGCAUUCCCGUCCGUCUCCACAAUUAUAGCCCCUUGACGCAGUUUGAAAGAACUUUGCUUCAUCAUGAACAUCGCUGAGGUCGGGAGGCAGAAGGGGGAGGCCAGGUGCGCGCCUCCUCCCUGUCGUGCUGCUGCUGAGCACCGCGGUGCUGGUCCUCCCCGCUUUGGGGACUUCACAGCAGGAUGUGCCCGACUCAAGCUGACCUACCAGGAUUUGCUGCUUUCAAACAGCUGCAUGCCCUUCCUGGGCUCCUCGGAGGGCCUGGAUUUCCAGACUGUUCUGUUGGAUGAGGAGCAGGGCCGGCUGCUGCUAGGAGCCAAGGACCACGUCUUCCUGCUCAGCCUGGCCGACCUCAACCGCAACUUCAAGAAGACUGGAUUUCGGAUCUAGGAUCAAUAACGGUGCAGGAUUUCUUCAUAAAUAUUUGAUAAAGGAAGGACUAUUGGAAGGGCAGGAAAGUGAGACCUUCUGGAGGACCCCCCAAUAUCCAGGAAACAGAAACGAGUGGGCUUUCAGCCCCAGGAUUUACACACCGAGGCGGG